rnacentral:rRNA from 1 species
AGCGAACGCUGGUGGCAGGCUCAACACAUGCAACUCGAGCGGUCACUUCGGUUUUUUCCGCGGACAGAUGCUUGACCCUAGCUAACGUACCCUUCAGUUCGGCAUAACCCACUGAGACCAGCGCUAAUACCGGAUACUCCCUUUUGGGGAUAGGUUUACUGCCGAAGGAUCGGCCCGCGUCUGAUUGGCUAGUGGGUGGGGGAAUUGCCUACAAAGGCGACGAUCAGUAGCUGGUCUGAGAGGAUGAUCAGCCACACUGGGAAUGAGACACGGCCCAGACUCGUACGGGAGGCAGCAGUGGGGAAUAUUCGAGAAUGGGCGCAUGUGUGACUCAGCCACGUUGGGGGAGGGAUGAAGGCCAUAGGGUUGAAUAGCCCUGUUGUACGCGCCGAUAAUGACGGGGCAGGAAGAAUAUAACACGGCUGGAUUCGUG